CCUGUAAGAGCUACAAAAUGUCUAAGAAAAAUAAAACCUGUCAUGAGUAUUGUACAGUCUACAGCCCGCUUACACGGAUUUACAAAGAUACAAAAACUUGCAGUUUUGAACGACAAAACUUUUGUCCUUGUGGACUGAAGUGUACAAAAAUUGAGCACCUCUGAAAUGUUCCAUUUGCCUGAGCGAUAUACCAAUAUCACAGUACACCAGAUGAGCCAUUUUGUAUGCUGGCAGCUUCAGCCGGAAGUAAGCAGGCAGCGCACCAGGAGUUCCAGAGCACAAGCUGUGACGAAGAGACCUGC
rnacentral:lncRNA from 1 species